GGAGUUAUAGCUCAGUGGUAGAGGUCAGUAAUUCUAUCCAUUCUAUCCUCUGGGCAUUGUCACUAACAUCCCACAGCGAAGGAUUGCAGUUACACGAAUAUCCUUAGGUCACCGGUUCGAUCCCGGUUAGCUCCU